rnacentral:rRNA from 1 species
GCUGGCGGCACGCCUAAUACAUGCAAGUCGAACGAAGUAGCAAUACUUAGUGGCAGACGGGUGAGUAACAUGUAGGUAUCUUCCCAUUGGUGAGGAAUAACACGAGGAAACUUGUGCUAAUACCUCAUAAGUCUUUACGGAGAAAGCUUUAUGCGCCGAUGGAUGAGCCUGCACUUGAUUAGUUUGUUGGUAGGGUAAUGGCCUACCAAGACAAUGAUCAAUAGCUGAUUUGAGAGGAUGAUCAGCCACAUUGGGACUGAGACACGGCCCAAACUCCUACGGGAGGCAGCAGUAGGGAAUCUUGCACAAUGGGGGAAACCCUGAUGCAGCGAUGCCGCGUGAGUGAAGAAGGCCUUUGGGUUGUAAAGCUCUUUCGUCGGGGAAGAAAAUGACUGUACCCGAAUAAGAAGGUCCGGCUAACUUCGUGCCAGCAGCCGCGGUAAUACGAAGGGACCUAGCGUAGUUCGGAAUUACUGGGCUUAAAGAGUUCGUAGGUGGUUAAAAAAGUUGGUGGUGAAAUCCCAGAGCUUAACUCUGGAACUGCCAUCAAAACUUUUUAGCUAGAGUAUGAUAGAGGAAAGCAGAAUUUCUAGUGUAGAGGUGAAAUUCGUAGAUAUUAGAAAGAAUACCGAUUGCGAAGGCAGCUUUCUGGAUCAUUACUGACACUGAGGAACGAAAGCAUGGGUAGCGAAGAGGAUUAGAUACCCUCGUAGUCCAUGCCGUAAACGAUGUGUGUUAGACGUUGGAAAUUUAUUUUCUGUGUCGCAGCGAAAGCAAUAAACACACCGCCUGGGGAGUACGACCG